AUGCAGACCAAAGAAACUGGUAUGUUGUAGUAUGGCACAACGUGAGCUUUCAUCGUGUAGCUCCAGUCCAAAACUGGUUUGCUGACUACCAAACAUUUAUCGUGCAAUACCUCCCACCAUACUCGCCAUUUUUGAACCCCAUAGAAGAGUUAUAUGGAAGGUAUAUGACCAGCAGCCCUUUGUGCGCAUGCCUCUUUUGCAGGCUAUGGAAGAGGCAUGUGAUGGGAUUGAUGUUGGUGCAAUUUAGGGAUGGAUAAGGCGAUUUGUAAUUUCUGGCAAGGGAAUAUAUUGCCUGUGAUGUGGCGUUGUGACUUGUUUGGUGAAAAAAAAAAUUCAACAGCAUGUGUGUGUAUCUGCAAAUAUUUCUGUGCAUGUGAACAAUCUAAUACAUAUUUUAGUAUUAUGGCAAAGCAUACUAAAGAAAAGUGCACUUUUCAUUAUGCCCAACUGUGUGUCGUUCGUUAGACAAAAAUCUGGUAAUAUGAAUGAAGGGUGUUCCAAUUUGUGUCAAAGUUUGAUUUUGAUAAUGUUAUAUGUAGUUUAGGUUGGAGUGCUUCAUUUUGCAGGAUAUAUGUGGUAUUUUGCUAUUUGGGUGUGUAGUUUUGUAAAUUGUGUUAAGUUUUUUGAUAAAACCAGACUAGUUUGCAAAAUUGUGUGUUAGCAAUUGGAAAAAACUGUAAAUACCAAGCUUUGCAAAGUAACACAUGAAACCUAUUGAACCAGCUAUGCAGACAACUACGUUAACAUGGGACUUGGAGAAUUGUCCUAUACAGGGAGGCUGCAGACCUGGAGCAAGGCAGAUACAGGCCUCAGGCAGAUUUACGGCCCAGGCAGUUUUUCCCAGCAAACGCACCACCCAUAUCGCGUCAUUCGCAUUACCCCACGCAAGGAUGCGUCUGAUCACGUCUUGCAUUGACUUUGUAUAUAAGUGUAGCAGGAUUAGGUGAGCUGUGAUUGACAGCUGAUAUAACCUAUCAGGAAAGGGCAGUCCCUUUUUAAGCGCUGAUUGGCUGCUCCCUGGAAUGCGUCAUGUCCUGUGUUUCCCCGGGGGGUUUGUAACGAUAGCGACAGGUGAGCUUUGUUAAUGUGCUGCUGUUCAUAGUUUUAAUCCCUGUAUGUUAUUUAAACUAGUUUGUGUUGGAUUUAGUGUGUCGUUUGUCUAGUGUGCUGGGGCCCUUCUACAUGUAGUGGUACAUGACAGUGUUACCUCAGUUGGCUGCUGGUUGAUCUGCUGUGGGUUAAGCUAUGCCGUAAAACUGUUAUUUGUCUGGGGUGAUACCACUAUUCGGGUUCUCCCUUUUGUUCUACGUCCUGUUCCUCGUGAGUGUUUGAUUCUCGUGCUGCGGAGUAGCAUCGCUGUAGCACCGACUUUAUCCUCCCCGCUGUAUGCUGGACUGUACACUGUCUGGUUCUUAAGUUUCAGGGUUGAUUUUAAGAUUCGAGUGAAGGAUUGUCCGGUGCAUUUGGAGUUGGCAAAUGGACUGUGGCGUUCGCGCAGUGUAGCUUCCCUUGCCGUUUACCUCUUUUUUCCUUUCUUUAUUUGUAUAUCAUUUUUGUCUGAAUAUUUGUAUAUUGUUUAUACUUUCAGGAGCUGAGGUUCCCACGGGUGGAUGGAUCUUGUGGUGGUGGUGGUAACGCUUCAACGUUUACCGUGUUACACAUUUUUGAAGUGUAUAAGUGUGUGCUUUGAGUUCACGGUGUGGUGUGAAAGUGUGCUUGUGGAUUAUUUGCGCCAGAGAUCACUCCGGUGGGUAGCCUCAGCCCUGUAGGUUGGUAUUGUGUUUAUUUGUUUGUUUAUUUGAUUUGUUGCCGGUCAUUGCAUUUUAGCAGUGAGGGCAUUUUAUAUAAUGAUGUACGUGUUGUUUUUGUGUAAUUCUGUUUUUUUUUUAUUAAGGUGAUAUGUAAUGUUUUGUGUCUUUAUUGUUAAAGUGUGACAGCUGGAGACCUGUUUUGAACAACCUCAUCAUGUCUGUUUAAAUCAUCCUUUUACCUGAUUAAAGUAAAUCAUGAAUAUUGUCUAAUAAAUGAAUAUUUUUGUAUUAUA